AUUGAACGCUGGCGGCAGGCCUAACACAUGCAAGUCGAGCGAGCGGCGGACGGGUGAGUAAUGUAUGGGGACUGCCCGAUAGAGGGGGAUAACUCCUGGAAACGGUGGCUAAUACCGCAUACUAUCGGAUAACCCAUAUGGGAUUAGCUAGUGGGUGGGGUAAAGACUCACCUAGGCGACGAUCUCUAGCUGGUCUGAGAGGAUGAUCAGCCACACGGGGACUGAAACACGGACCAGGCUCGAGGGGAGGCAGCAGUGGGGAAUAUUGGACAUUGGGCGUAGGCCGGACGGAGUACGGCCGAGGGGAGGAAGAAGGCAUCAGGGUUGUAAAGUACUUGCAGCGGGGAGGUGUUACUCGCAGAAGAAGCACCGGCUAAAUCCGUGCCAGCAGCCGCGGUAAUAC
rnacentral:rRNA from 1 species